rnacentral:rRNA from 1 species
AUGAACGCUAGCUACAGGCUUAACACAUGCAAGUCGAGGGGCAGCAUGGUCUUAGCUUGCUAAGGCCGAUGGCGACCGGCGCACGGGUGAGUAACACGUAUCCAACCUGCCGUCUACUCUUGGACAGCCUUCUGAAAGGAAGAUUAAUACAAGAUGGCAUCAUGAGUCCGCAUGUUCACAUGAUUAAAGGUAUUCCGGUAGACGAUGGGGAUGCGUUCCAUUAGAUAGUAGGCGGGGUAACGGCCCACCUAGUCUUCGAUGGAUAGGGGUUCUGAGAGGAAGGUCCCCCACAUUGGAACUGAGACACGGUCCAAACUCCUACGGGAGGCAGCAGUGAGGAAUAUUGGUCAAUGGGCGAGAGCCUGAACCAGCCAAGUAGCGUGAAGGAUGACUGCCCUAUGGGUUGUAAACUUCUUUUAUAAAGGAAUAAAGUCGGGUAUGGAUACCCGUUUGCAUGUACUUUAUGAAUAAGGAUCGGCUAACUCCGUGCCAGCAGCCGCGGUAAUACGGAGGAUCCGAGCGUUAUCCGGAUUUAUUGGGUUUAAAGGGAGCGUAGAUGGAUGUUUAAGUCAGUUGUGAAAGUUUGCGGCUCAACCGUAAAAUUGCAGUUGAUACUGGAUAUCUUGAGUGCAGUUGAGGCAGGCGGAAUUCGUGGUGUAGCGGUGAAAUGCUUAGAUAUCACGAAGAACUCCGAUUGCGAAGGCAGCCUGCUAAGCUGCAACUGACAUUGAGGCUCGAAAGUGUGGGUAUCAAACAGGAUUAGAUACCCUGGUAGUCCACACGGUAAACGAUGAAUACUCGCUGUUUGCGAUAUACUGCAAGCGGCCAAGCGAAAGCGUUAAGUAUUCCACCUGGGGAGUAAGCCGGCAACGGUGAAACUCAAAGGAAUUGACGGGGGCCCGCACAAGCGGAGGAACAUGUGGUUUAAUUCGAUGAUACGCGAGGAACCUUACCCGGGCUUAAAUUGCAGAUGAAUUACGGUGAAAGCCGUAAGCCGCAAGGCAUCUGUGAAGGUGCUGCAUGGUUGUCGUCAGCUCGUGUCGUGAGAUGUUGGGUUAAGUCCCGCAACGAGCGCAACCCUUAUCUUUAGUAGCCAGCAAUUAGGAUGGGCACUCUAGAGAGACUGCCAGGGAUAACCUGGAGGAAGGUGGGGAUGACGUCAAAUCAGCACGGCCCUUACGUCCGGGGCUACACACGUGUUACAAUGGGGGGUACAGAGGGCCGCUACCACGCGAGUGGAUGCCAAUCCCCAAAACCUCUCUCAGUUCGGACUGGAGUCUGCAACCCGACUCCACGAAGCUGGAUUCGCUAGUAAUCGCGCAUCAGCCACGGCGCGGUGAAUACGUUCCCGGGCCUUGUACACACCGCCCGUCAAGCCAUGGGAGCCGGGGGUACCUGAAGUGCGUAACCGCGAGGAGCGCCCUAGGGUAAAACUGGUGACUGGGGCU